GUGUUUUUUUGCCCGCUUGUUCCGCCGUCUUGGAUUUUUAAUUUUGGACACGUCUCGUUUCUAGUCUUCAGAAUAGGAGUCGGCGAUCUAUACCUCCUAUAUCUAUGGUUUCAACCCUUUAGUUUAAUUCUCCCUUCUUUCGCCGCCUUCAUCUUUCGCACCCGCGGUCUUUACUUGUCCGCGAUCAUCUAUACUUCAUGUAGAGUGAUAGUAUAAUGAUUCAAGCAG